AUUCACUUACCUGGCUGCCUAGAACAUGAAAUUUGAGUGACUCCUUAUCCCUUGCUCAGAUUCAUAUUAGUAAGUCCCAGGCAACUCUUCAGUGGCUCAUAUCUCUCAAGAUACCACAGUUCUGAUCUGAGCACAGUGAAGACUGGAUGAAAAGAAUGAGAACUGGAAUCCCUUCAGAUUGCUGCCUCCUCCGCCUCCUUCCAGCCUGCCUUUCCUCUCUGUGGCAGCCUGGGUGUGGAAGUUUGUCAACCACGAGAGGCUGGAAUAUAUGAAACAGGGUUUUCUAUUGCAACUAGCUAACAGGAGUGGGUUUUUGGCUGAAGCCAUAGCAACAAUUCUAGAGGUGCUAAGUGCUGUCCUUAGAGAUGAUAUAAUCCAGCAGGCAUAGGGGAUUUCUGUGUAUGUGUAUUGGGAUAAAAUCUACUGCAGACUUUUUAAAGUAAAGAAGAGUUGAUGUGUUUUUACAUUUUACUUAUGUUCUUUUUAGAGAGAAAUGCAUGUUUUUAAUUGUUUGGUUGUAAAUUCUGUUCUCGAGGCAAAAAUCAAGAAGGAACAAUUAAAAAAUUACUUCAGUGACUCUAAAUUGGCAAACGUUGACACAUAAUAUUCCUGCUACCAUCUUUUUUUCUCUCUCCCUCUUUCUUUGGGGUAAUUAUGUCUCUUA